rnacentral:tRNA from 1 species
GCCGAAAUAGCUCAGUUGGUAGAGCACUGCAUUCGUAAUGCAAAGGUCGCGGGUUCGACUCCCGCUUUCGGCU